CUCUCUGUUCUUAUUUGAAGUUGCCUUUCUUUCUGAAAUGCAGUGUGGGAAAGAGCACAAUCUGAUCCACUAGAGACAGCACAAGAUAGUUAGAACACAAGCCUUUACGGCCAGAGAGACCUACAUUCGUGUUCUAACUCUACCGUUUACCGGCUGUAAGACCUUCGCAGGUCAUGGACCCUCUUGGAGUGCUGUACGUGAAGGAAAGAGCACUUGUAACUUCAAAGAUAGAGGGACUGAGAGAAAUCUGAAAGACCAUUUCUUGAAUACAUUUUGAGGAGAAGCUGAUAGUCUGCUGAUUCAUGAAGGCACAGGACUGGCUGAUGUUUCUAGUGCUGCAGAAAGCUCCAUGAACAGCCACCAGGUCCAGGAUUAGAACCGUGCAGCCCUCCACGUGGGAUCCAUCCCUCAUAACCUCCACACUGUGGACUGUCUCCAGGACUUUGUUUUCUUUCUUUCAAAAGUGGAAGAUCAAACUGGAAUCUGCUGCAACUGACCGAGGGUUUGAUUGGCUCCUUCCCAUCAGACUUUCUCAGGCUGUGUUCUACAGCAGGAUCUUUGCUGAGCUUUCAUCAGCAACCAUUUCAUAAGAUAUAGUAAUCAUCCCUUUUCGUCUGUGUAUCACGUACGUAUGUAAUUUCUUCUAUUCUCAAGUGUUUCAGGUGACAUUUACAGUACUGAAAUGUGAGAGACACUUGAAAGCUUAAAAAAAUGUAGAAGGAUCAGUAGA